GACAGAGGGUGCGAGCGUUGUUCGGAAUUACUGGGCGUAAAGCGCGUGUAGGCGGAUCGGAAAGUCGGGCGUGAAAGCCCCAGGCUCAACCUGGGAACUGCACCCGAAACUCCCGGUCUGAGUCGGUGGAGAGGGAAGUGGAAUUCCGUGGUGUAGAGGUGAAAUUCGUAGAUAAUCAGGAGGAACACCAGUGGCGAAGGCGGCUUCC
rnacentral:rRNA from 1 species